rnacentral:rRNA from 1 species
AGUAAUGUAUGGGGAUCUGCCCGAUAGAGGGGGAUAACUACUGGAAACGGUGGCUAAUACCGCAUAAUGUCUACGGACCAAAGCAGGGGCUCUUCGGACCUUGCACUAUCGGAUGAACCCAUAUGGGAUUAGUUAGUAGGUGGGGUAAAGGCUCACCUAGGCGACGAUCUCUAGCUGGUCUGAGAGGAUGAUCAGCCACACUGGGACUGAGACACGGCCCAG